ACUUACAGCUAGUUUUCCAUUUGUCUGCCUAAUUGAACACCGUUUCUUCCUUAGUUUGCUCUGUGUUCUUUUCGUGUGUUCUUAAGUUCUACGCAUUGUUUGUGUUUGUCGUUGCUUGGAUCAACUCUCGGUCCUAAGUCAAGCUUUCCCAAUCGCUCGCCCAAGUCUAGUGUCCUUAGAAGCAUCUGUGUGUGGUCCAUCAGUUUAGGUGGUAGCUUUCCUGCCAGUUAUGCCAUCCUAGACACCGCAUAUAUACACAUCUGAGCUAACCGACAUUCUAAUUGGCCAGUCAUUCGUCUAACCACUCCCUGCUUACAACAGCGGAGCCGAAUAGAAC